UGACGGUGUACUGGGGGAAGCGAUAGGCUCAACUCUGUACAUGAAUGUAUAUGUCAUGUACAUAAAUGAAUGUAAAUCAGUAAUAAGUAAUUUGCGGGAGAGAAAAAGGGAAACACGUGGCAUUCCGGGCGUCGAACGAAAACGUGGUCCAAUUUUGGAAAUAAUUCAAAAUGAGAAUAUAGUUGUGUUGUUGACCUUUAAAGGAAGUAUUUAAAAGCGGCGCGCGUCGUUCACCUGUUUACCUUCCUAUUUUCUGCCUUCUUAGUUCUUACUCGUUCUGCUUCUGCUCCGCGGGGAGUAGGUAACAAUAAAUAUAACAGACAGCAGGAACAGAGACCGAGACGCGAGACGCAUUGAAGAUUCGAUCGCAGAACGUAGUGCGUCUAGCUGUUCACUUUGCCGCCGAUCCGGCUUCUUCAAUUUAUUACAAAUUAUGAACAGUAAUAAGAGAUAUUACAUUGAUAUUACUGGUAUCACACCGAUUAUACUUCCUAUCACGAGUAACAGCUUGUACAAUGUCAUAGUGUCUAAUGUCUAUAACAAAGCUACAGAUCAUCAAGAGCUGUACAGCCAGUAUUCUUCAUUUGGAGAUCCACAGUGUAUAGUUAUUGAAAAAAGCAGUCACCUGUUAACAUUUCGAUCUGCCCGGGAGGCUAUCAAAUUUUAUAAGAACAUUAAAAGAACAGAAAAGUCUGUGCAGUUGGUAGGAAUGUUACCGUCGACUAUUUUAUUGAACCAUUCCAGGCCACCGAGACGUUUAGUGGAAAAUCUCAAACUUUUGAACUAUGUUGUCCAAGCGUUAAUUUACGAUGAUAACGAUGCUUUGCAGUCUGCCAUUUUCGACUUUCAAGACUUUCCCAUUCCACAGAUUCUACCUGUUGUCGAUCUGUGCCUAAUGCAAAAAUUAAGAAAAUUUAACUUGAUUGAUGUUCUUGUAGCGGACUUCCCAGUUUUCUUUAACCACAACGAUUUGAUAGAACUGAUUGAAAGUAUUUUGCCUAAAAAUAGUUACUUUGAUUUUCAAUCCUAUAAUUUUAAUUCACAAUCACAUUGUCCUUUAUUUUGUAUAAUAUAUGUUAGUACGCAUGAAGAUGCUAUGUUACUUAUUAAAAAAUUGAGUAAAAAAAAAUUAUCACAUAAACGUUUAAAAGUUUUUAUGGUAGGGGCUUUAGAAAAAUUAUUAGAAAUUCCGAAAUAGUUAAUAAGUUCCAAAAUAUUGACGUUAUACAUUAAGCACAUUUUUCUUAUUUUAUUUUAUUAAAAAACUUUUAAUCUUUGUUAUACUUUAACUUAAUUUUUUCAAUCACUAAGUUGUUAUUUAAUAUCAUUGUAAUAAAUAGAACUGAUUGCAAUACAAUAUAAAAGUUUCAUGAAUUAGAUGUCAGAAAAAGGCACAGUAGAUUCUCAUUAUCUGUGCUUUUGUUAUCCACUCCGUCACACAUCUGCAGUUGUUCCGUUAGUUGAGUUCUAGAGAAGAGUGGGAACAUGGUAAAUCACAGAAAAACAAAGGAGCCUAAUUAAAUUCUAUUGAAAAAAUUUGAGAUAAGUUAAUACAUACAUAACAUUAUAGGCACUCUUGAUACAGAAAGUGGCCACUUGGCAUGAAGAUGGAAGAAAAUUCUUUAAAGCCUGAAAUUCAAGGUGUUUCCUGUUGUUCAUGGUUAUGUUUGUUGGUAUGUAACCAUCACAGAUAAUGAGAAUACUGUUGUAAAAAUAACCUAUACAAUCUUUCCUUUCCUUAGAAUUAGUCGUGUGGUACUAGUACAAACAGUAGUAACUAGUACAGUAGUAGUUGCUAUUAUGAAAUUGAAUAAAUAAUUUUAUUUAUCUAUUUAUAUUUUAUCAGGUUUUUAUGGCUGUGUUAAUAGUUGGAAUAUCCAUUUAAAGAAAGGAGUGCAACAGACCAACACUGAAGAUUGAAAAACAAGGAGAGAUCUGAUUGACCGACUCAGUGAGAAUGGCAGACCUGGGGCAAUGGGAGAUGAUCAUGUAACAUUCACAUAAAACUUCAGUUUUAAGUUUUAUAUGCGCAACAACAAAGUUUACCAAAACAACUCUACUUUUGUUCCAUUGAUUCAUAAUCGGAUUAAUGUAGUUAGAAAUGAAGAUGAACCAAUUAGUUUUAUGUUGAAGGAUCAUGUGUGGCAAAAGAAAGUGCCAACGGUUUGCAGAGCUUUUGCUAUAUUUAUAUACACAUUAUAUUUUCUUAAUUGAU